GGUGGACGCUGGCGGUAGGCCUAACACAUGCAAGUCGAACGGCAGCGCAGUAAGGGCUUGCUCUUACCGGUGGCGAGUGGCGGACGGGUGAGGCAAACAUCCGAUUCUACUUUUUCGUGGGGGCUAACGUAGGGAAACUAACGCUUAUACCGCUUACGACCUACGGUUGUAAUCAAGAGCUCUUCGGACCUUGCGCGAUUGCGUGCGCGGAUGUCGGAUUAGUUAGUUGGCGGGGUAAAGACCCACCGAGGCUACGAUCCGUUGCUGGUCUGAUCGGAGGAUCAGCCACACUGGAACUGAGACACGGUCCAGACUCCUACGGGAGGCAGGAGUGGGGAAUAUUGGACUAUGGGCGGAGUCCUGAUCCAGCCAUACCGCGCCGGGUGAAAAGGCCUUCGGGUUGUAAAGCUCUUUUGUUGGGAAAGAAAAGCAGCAGGUUAAUCGCGCGCUGUGCUGACGGUACCCAACGAAUAAGCACCGGCUAACUUCGUG
rnacentral:rRNA from 1 species